GUCUCCUACAAACCUCCUGCACACCUGGGGAAGGCAGCAGCUCUGGGGUCUGCAGGGGGGCACCUCAUGGUUCCCAACUCUCCUAGAAGCAAAAAGGGAUUCAAAGAGGCCCACUUGAUAACCUGUCAGGCUGCAUAGCAGUGAGGCUUCCUCCUUUAGUAGCACCGAUGUCGGGGAAAAGAAAACUACCUGGCAAGUUAGGAUACAGCAGGAACGGUCUCCAAGACAGCCAUUGAAAAUGCUCCCAAAUGCUGGAGACCUCAGCUCCUGCACAAAGACAAAACCACAGAGGAAAGCACUCAGAAAGGAGCAGGAUGAGGGAAUGCAAAGAAAAGGCAAAUGAGGGAAGCGUUGAAAGAUACAGCCUUGAUACAAUGGCCACAAAGAAGAGCUCUUCACAAUAGAAGCUUGUUAUGUUUGCUUUGCCAUCAUCCACCAUAAAGCCUGGAAUACAACCUUCUUCCCUUUUCAGUAAACAUCUACUGAGUAAAUCACA